rnacentral:rRNA from 1 species
AUUGAACGCUGGCGGCAUGCUUUACACAUGCAAGUCGAACGGUAACAGGCCUUCGGGUGCUGACGAGUGGCGAACGGGUGAGUAAUGCAUCGGAACGUGCCCAGAGGUGGGGGAUAACGCAGCGAAAGCUGUGCUAAUACCGCAUGUGAUCUGAGGAUGAAAGCGGGGGACCAAGCAGCAAUGUUUGGCCUCGCGCCUCUGGAGCGGCCGAUGUCAGAUUAGGUAGUUGGUGGGGUAAAGGCCUACCAAGCCGACGAUCUGUAGCUGGUCUGAGAGGACGCCCAGCCACACUGGGACUGAGACACGGCCCAGACUCCUACGGGAGGCAGCAGUGGGGAAUUUUGGACAAUGGGCGCAAGCCUGAUCCAGCAAUGCCGCGUGCGGGAAGAAGGCCUUCGGGUUGUAAACCGCUUUUGUACGGAACGAAAAGGCUCUGGCUAAUACCUGGGGCUGAUGACGGUACCGUAAGAAUAAGCACCGGCUAACUACGUG